rnacentral:lncRNA from 1 species
GGUUCCUCCCGAUGGUAGGCGCCCUUUACAGCCUUGUUCUGCAUCCCUCUCCAAAUGGCCUCUUCGAGAGUAAUUUCCAGAUUAUACUCUAGAUUACAAACUGUUGCUGCAAAACUCAACAAGAAUUCCUCAACCUCUAUCCAAUCUUCACCCUUCAAAAGUGCCUCUGAAUCCUCUGUCAAUAAGCGCUUCUCUAUCGUCUCAAGGUGAACAAAUACUCGCAAAAUCUGCAUCAGCCGCAUCCUCACUUAUGUCAUCUUCUGUCUAUAUGUUUGUAUUUAUUAAUGUAUAAUGCAUUUUGCAAGUGGGUUUUAGGUUACCCGUGGAAUUGAGUUGCGUGGAGACGAUGAUACCUUUGCACAGUGCAAUAGCAUCUGCUCGUUUGAAGUCAAGCUUGUCGAUUGAGUCGCAGAAAUGGGAUUUAGUUCCUCAAGGUUUGCUUUAGUUAAAUACUUGUACUAAUUCUAGUUGUUGCCCAUUCCAUUUCCAUUUGGACAUUACUUAUUUGAUUUUUGAAACUCAGUUUUUGCAAUCUAUUGAUUUGCUUGACUGCAUUUGAUAUGACCAAAUUUGUCAUAAAUGCCUGCCAAGUGACAUGUGAAUAGUUAAUAUGGAGCUAGUAAUUGAGUAUUGUGUGGCUUAAUAGUAAUGUCCCUAAUUGUUAAUAUAUGCAGUCAUGGUGUUAAAAGUUACAUUAGUUUUAUUGUCGAUUUACCAGCAGGCAGCAGUCCUUUAUUACUUGGAGUUUUUGAUGUUGAAAUUUGCUUAGAAUUCUUUGAAAGUAUACAUUUAUGUAUCAAAUAUUAUGUAUCAAAUAUUCAUUGUUAUAAUUUUUAAAUUUCCUUUAUAAAAUUAUUUUUUGUUUUCAGAUUUGAUUUUGUGUCAAAUAUUCAUUUUUAUAAUUUUAAAAUUUCCUUAAUAAAAUUAUCAGAUUUGAUUUUGAAUUUUGCAGAGAAUAUCUUUUUGAGUUUGAAGAAUGGCUACUUGUUAUAUCAUGAUAACUUUUGGCUGUACUUUGUUUUAAUAAUAAUAUGAAAUAAAGUACUAAUGUAUCAAAAACUGUUUAUUGUAAAUGUAAAUUCUUUUGACAUGGAAAUAGUACAUUUUUUCUCACAAUAUUAUGACUUUUUACGGAAAUGUUAUAAUAAUUAAAAAUUUCUAGUUUUAUAUUCCAAGACCUAAAAUGGGGGUUGUCGUUCAAAGGAACUCCCCACAAAACAGUGUCGGAAAUUCAAAAAUAAAAAUACAGAGGAUUAGGGAUGUAUCCGAGGUUUGUUGGGGAAGAUUUCCUUGCAUGACAGAAAUUAAAGAAAACAUAUAAAAAAAUAGACUUUUUGAGAAAUGUCGGUGUUUGAUAAUUAUCAUAUACCGGUACUCCUUCACCUUAGGAGUUUAGUGUUCCAUGUUUCAUAGUGUGGAAUCAUUAUAGGACCCUUGCAUUGCGCUUGAAGGUUACCUAUUGGGCAUCUAGGAAUAAAUAUGGACAAAUAAUUGUUGACUGAAGCACCAGAAUUGAAGUUUAGUGACUUGAAUCUUAUAUUCCUUUUCAAUAUUAUUUGGUUCUGAACUCUUGCUUUUUGCCUAUUUUAUGAAGAAGUAGAUAUAGGACUUAUCACUUGAGGGAGAAAAAAAAAUCAAGAGGUAGGAAAAGUUACUCUUACUUGGUAGAUAUAGGAGUAGAAUGCUUUAUCUUCAUUUUGGGAGAAUGGUUUGUGGUUUUCGUCUAGCUCUCAGUGGUGGAUGUGGAUUGGUUUCAAACGUGAUUGUUGCUCCAACCUCCAAAUUUAAAAUUAUAUUUGAGGUUCUUGUUUUUGUAGAAUCAAUGAUAGUAGUACCAGUUAUCAUAAUAACUUCUUACCCUUUUUGUGCUUUGACUAACAGCAUGUUUGGAAAUGAAGUUGAGUUUGCCAAACAAGUAAAGAAGGUGGAAGGAGAGGCAGAGGUUGGAGGAUUCCUCUCACGUGGAGGAAGGAGUUUGGUGGAGAAGGGAAAGAUGGUGAAAAACUAAAAUGGGUGGGGUAAUGGGAGAAGCCGGUAGAACAAUGGGAGAAGACAGCUGAGUCCUGGAGGUGACGACAAGCUGGGGCAGGGGUAGGCGGGUAGAAGAUAGAGAAUGUGGAUAAGAUGUUGCAAUGGAUGGUAACUUAAAAUAUGGAUAAAUGUUGGGAGUAAUUUGGUCUUUUACUACAUUGCUACUAUGGCGGCUUUUCUUUGUACGAAACAUAUUGUGUCAAGUCGGACACCGACACUCCUCGGACGCGCGAUGACAUGGGUCCGACAAGCUACAUGUUGUGUCUCAUUUUUUUGUAUAUUUUUUAAAAUUUCUAUUGCUCAAGGAUAUUUUGCGAACAUUCCCCGAACAAUUGUUCAACAUGACAUGUGCUAAGUAUUGUAUUAAAAAAGAUAAUAGGAUAUAAAUUUAAAACUUUAAAUAAUUUAAAUCGACGUGUCCAUAAUGUAUCUGUCCUACUUUUUAGUGAAAUCACAUGUCACAGUGCCCGUGUACAUGUUUGUGAACUUAAGUCUUUUACUUGGUCAAACCAUAAAAUAAGCUAGCAUCUUUUUUUGACAGUAAGGUUGAAAAUGCCCCUUUUUAACAGUUUUUAGCUCUUUCUGGCUUUAAUGGAAUCAGCUUAUUUUUAAGAUAAAGUAUGUUUGGUAAAAUAAGGUGCUUAAAAGCUAGUUUGACUUGCUUUUAAGCUUAGCCAUACUUGAUAUUAUUAAUUUUAUAACAUUGUGAAAAGGAAAAUACAAUGAGUCUCCUUUAUGGUGCUUACCUCAGAGUCGCAAUGAAGUUUUGAUUAUAUUUAGGGCUAGACUGACUUGAUAAAACGCAAUCAUUAGUUUGUUCUAUGAUAAAUACUCCAUCUUGUCUCGUUUUAAGAACCCUGAUGUUGGAGCUGGACUUCAAGGAGAUUAAAUAUAAUGCACGUCUGCUUGUGUGGAACAUAGGAUUCUUAAUUUGCUAUUAAAUAUUCACCUAAAAUAAAUGGUUUAAAUGUUCAAAAACCUGUUCAAAUGGGAAAGUCCUUUAGUCAAGAACAUAUUUAGGACAGAGGACUUUCAUUUUGUGUAAUCUCAAGAUUGAUAAAAGAACACCCUGUUCGGGACAAUGGUGGUCAUACGCGUGUGAAUAUAUAUCUCUGGUACUUGUCUUACUGAGUAAUUGAUGACCGCUUUCUUAACAAAAAAGCCCUCUCAAUCACAAAAAAAUGAUACCAUUCAAUGAAAAUGUAUUAAUAUUCUUCUCUUUCACGAAGGACUCUCUAGGGAUGUGAUUAGGGAUAAAGUAACAUCAAAACCACAAUUGAUCAGUUCAUACCUUUCUUUGAUCCUCCAGCAAAGCAGAGACCAGCUCUGCGACUCCAACUAGAACUCAACCACAUCUGUGUUAAACUUUGUUCACCCUCGCCAUUUUGUCCCCAAAUUGUACCACCGCACCAGAUCGUUGCUUUCAUUGGCCAGUCACCAAACAUAAUCAUUGCUGCAACCUAAAUCAUGAGCAGUAGCCUCCAUGAUUAGAGCAUCACAACCUCAACAAUCCGACUUCUUUCCCAUAGCUUCAACGUGUCUGUCAAUAAAGUGAUAUUACAGCCAAACUGUUGAAGCAAUGCUAUGGAGAACUAAAAAAAUAUCAAUAUACAGAUAAAGAGGAUACUUGACAUGCACAAAAUAUUAAAGAUAAUGAUCUUAAUGCUUCAUUGAAGUUGCUCCUUCCAUCUUUCCUUCAUUUACUCUUUUGGCAAUGAAUUUAUUAUUUUAUUUACAAUCAGGGGUAUACUUUGAUAAUCAAGUAAGCCCCUGUUUGAGCUCCAUUUAUUUGAAAAUGCAUUUUUCUCUUUUUUUCUUUUCAACCACACAUUCUCCAAUAAAAUAAUAUUACAUAUAAACUCAACACUUUUCCUUCCUUUUUGACCAUACAUUCUUCAAAAAAUCACUCUUCCAAAAUAUAUUUUUCCCAAAAUUUGAUUGUAAUGGAGCCUAGACAAGGGCUAAAUAUCUUCUGCUUUGAUGGACCGUGAUAAUGGACGAGGGGUUUAAGGGGGUUAGACUGAUGAGGGUAAUGUGUAUGAAUCGAUAAACACACGAUCAAGCACGCAAAACCUUCUAGCUUCCUGUUCAUACGUUUAAGAAUAGCAGAAGACUAGGUAACCAAAACUCGUUGAUUCACAGAAUACUGAAGUUGGAAUGAUAAUUGAGAGAGAAGUCUCAAAGUUUAUUAUUUAAUCAAUCUGCAACGCUCUUCUUACAAAUGAUCCUAGGCAGCUAACUUGUACAAUGCCAUAAAAAUACUUGUGCAAGAAAAAAAAUCUGAAAAUUACCAUAAAAAUUCAAAUAAAAAAAUAUUAUUUAACAUAUAUAUCCUUCUACCAUUUGGUCGUAACAUAAGAGUUAACCUAACUAUAUGUGCAGAUGACAAAUUCAUUAUGUAUCACUUGUACUGACUCCAAACUUCUGUUAUUAAUGCUUUUUUUUCAUAAUUUUGCAGGCAUCUCAAUGCCUUUAUAACAGCAUUUCAGGUCCGGUCAUUGUGGGGCUCAUUUCCGAUGGAUAAGAAUUUAGGUUACAGUUCUCUUUGCUGACUUACAAUGCUCCAAAACCUUCAAAUGUUUUUGUGAACUUAUAAUAACAUGUGCCUGGAUGGAGGUUGCUUAUUUAUCUUGUUAAUUUCUACAUUUGUCUGUUUUAUAUUUUUGUAUUACGAAUUCCCUCCAAGAAGUUACAGUGAAGGUUAGCGUGGAAAAAAUUGUGGAAUUACUUUAUGUUGCUUCAAAAUGCUGUUAUUAUUAAUGAUGUUAUCAGGACCUUUACUCUAUAGAAAUCUGUGGUAGCUCAACUGCAUGCCAAUAAGGCCUAUCUUUGCUCAUUUGUUGUCACUAACAGUGUCAUUAACUGACUUAUGAUGUAAAAUCUAU